CAAGAAGAGACCGUUCUCCGGUCCUCUCAACCUUGCCCAUCGUACCCUUGUGUUGUUCCCUCGGCGAGGCUUGCGGGCCCGCCGGCGGGAAGAUCAACGAAACUCUUGUGCGAACAAGCAUCCAAAAAAUCUCUGAUCAAAAACAUGAAUUGUCA
rnacentral:misc_RNA from 1 species